UACGUAGGUGGCAAGCGUUGUCCGGAUUUACUGGGCGUAAAGAGCGCGCAGGCGGUCGUUCAAGUCGCGUGUGAAAGCCCCCGGCUCAACUGGGGAGGGUCACGCGAUACUGAUCGACUCGAAGGCAGGAGAGGGUAGUGGAAUUCCCGGUGUAGUGGUGAAAUGCGUAGAUAUCGGGAGGAACACCAGUGGCGAAGGCGGCUCACUGGCCCGAUACUGACGCUGAGGCACGAAAGCGUGGGGAGCAAACAGG
rnacentral:rRNA from 1 species